rfam:Trichomalopsis sarcophagae strain Alberta scaffold10030, whole genome shotgun sequence.
AAAUCGGCCCUUUUUAGGGCCACAUCAUGUGCUAAAUCCGAUCAG